UACUGGAAAUGCAAAUAGCUUGGUAAUGAUACCAGCAAUCCAGUUGUUGUUACUGGAAAUGCAUAUAGCUUGGUAAUGAUACCAGCAAUCCAGUUGUUGUUAUUGGAAAUGCAUAUAGCUUGGUAAUGAUACCAGCAAUCCAGUUGUUGUUAUUGGAAAUGCAUAUAGCUUGGUGAAGUUAUGUAAUACCGGAUAGAUGGUUAUCAAAUCUAUACUGGCAAUUGUCGUCACUAAUACAUUGAAUUUGUCUAUGAUAACGCUUAAUGUCUCAAGUUUUACGCCUAAAUCUCUUAACAUAACGAAAACGCAAUGUAAACAAACAACAUUUUCAUGUUUAAUGAAUAAAGUGUAACAAACACGAAUGAAGUUAUAACGCACAUCUAAAGAUACUGUAAUAUUUAUAAAACAAACAUUUUUUAAAUACAUUUUAAACAUUGUCU